rnacentral:rRNA from 1 species
GACGAACGCUGGCGGCGUGCCUAAUACAUGCAAGUCGAACGCUUCUUUCCUCCCGAGUGCUUGCACUCAAUUGGAAAGAGGAGUGGCGGACGGGUGAGUAACACGUGGGUAACCUACCCAUCAGAGGGGGAUAACACUUGGAAACAGGUGCUAAUACCGCAUAACAGUUUAUGCCGCAUGGCAUAAGAGUGAAAGGCGCUUUCGGGUGUCGCUGAUGGAUGGACCCGCGGUGCAUUAGCUAGUUGGUGAGGUAACGGCUCACCAAGGCCACGAUGCAUAGCCGACCUGAGAGGGUGAUCGGCCACACUGGGACUGAGACACGGCCCAGACUCCUACGGGAGGCAGCAGUAGGGAAUCUUCGGCAAUGGACGAAAGUCUGACCGAGCAACGCCGCGUGAGUGAAGAAGGUUUUCGGAUCGUAAAACUCUGUUGUUAGAGAAGAACAAGGACGUUAGUAACUGAACGUCCCCUGACGGUAUCUAACCAGAAAGCCACGGCUAACUACGUGCCAGCAGCCGCGGUAAUACGUAGGUGGCAAGCGUUGUCCGGAUUUAUUGGGCGUAAAGCGAGCGCAGGCGGUUUCUUAAGUCUGAUGUGAAAGCCCCCGGCUCAACCGGGGAGGGUCAUUGGAAACUGGGAGACUUGAGUGCAGAAGAGGAGAGUGGAAUUCCAUGUGUAGCGGUGAAAUGCGUAGAUAUAUGGAGGAACACCAGUGGCGAAGGCGGCUCUCUGGUCUGUAACUGACGCUGAGGCUCGAAAGCGUGGGGAGCAAACAGGAUUAGAUACCCUGGUAGUCCACGCCGUAAACGAUGAGUGCUAAGUGUUGGAGGGUUUCCGCCCUUCAGUGCUGCAGCAAACGCAUUAAGCACUCCGCCUGGGGAGUACGACCGCAAGGUUGAAACUCAAAGGAAUUGACGGGGGCCCGCACAGGCGGUGGAGCAUGUGGUUUAAUUCGAAGCAACGCGAAGAACCUUACCAGGUCUUGACAUCCUUUGACCACUCUAGAGAUAGAGCUUUCCCUUCGGGGACAAAGUGACAGGUGGUGCAUGGUUGUCGUCAGCUCGUGUCGUGAGAUGUUGGGUUAAGUCCCGCAACGAGCGCAACCCUUAUUGUUAGUUGCCAUCAUUUAGUUGGGCACUCUAGCGAGACUGCCGGUGACAAACCGGAGGAAGGUGGGGAUGACGUCAAAUCAUCAUGCCCCUUAUGACCUGGGCUACACACGUGCUACAAUGGGAAGUACAACGAGUCGCUAGACCGCGAGGUCAUGCAAAUCUCUUAAAGCUUCUCUCAGUUCGGAUUGCAGGCUGCAACUCGCCUGCAUGAAGCCGGAAUCGCUAGUAAUCGCGGAUCAGCACGCCGCGGUGAAUACGUUCCCGGGCCU